CCUACGGGAGGCAGCAGUGGGGAAUUUUGGACAAUGGGCGCAAGCCUGAUCCAGCCAUGCCGCGUGUGGGAAGAAGGCCUUCGGGUUGUAAACCACUUUUGUCAGGGAAGAAACGGUCUGAACUAAUACUUUGGACUAAUGACGGUACCUGAAGAAUAAGCACCGGCUAACUACGUGCCAGCAGCCGCGGUAAUACGUAGGGUGCAAGCGUUAAUCGGAAUUACUGGGCGUAAAGCGUGCGCAGGCGGCUUUGCAAGACAGAUGUGAAAUCCCCGGGCUCAACCUGGGAACUGCAUUUGUGACUGCAUGGCUAGAGUACGGUAGAGGGGGAUGGAAUUCCGCGUGUAGCAGUGAAAUGCGUAGAUAUGCGGAGGAACACCGAUGGCGAAGGCAAUCCCCUGGACCUGUACUGACGCUCAUGCACGAAAGCGUGGGGAGCAAACAGGAUUAGAUACCCUGGUAGUCCACGCCCUAAACGAUGUCAACUGGUUGUUGGGAGGGUUUCUUCUCAGUAACGAAGCUAACGCGUGAAGUUGACCGCCUGGGGAGUACGGCCGCAAGGUUGAAACUCAAAUUGAAUUGACGG
rnacentral:rRNA from 1 species